rnacentral:rRNA from 1 species
CGAAAUGCAAUACGUAAUGUGAAUUGCAGAAUUCAGUGAAUCAUCGAAUCUUUGAACGCACCUUGCA